rnacentral:tRNA from 3 species
GGAGGGUUGGGAGAGUGGUUAAAUCCACCAGACUGUAAAUCUGGCGCCCGGACGGGCUACGUAGGUUCGAAUCCUACACCCUCCACCA